GAACGGGAUUUGGGAGCUUGCUUCCAAUGAGAGUGGCGCACGGGUGCGUAACACGUAUGUAACCUACCUUAAUCUGGGGGAUAGCCUCUCGAAAGAGAGAUUAACACCGCAUAACAUCACGAUAUAGCAUUUUAUUGUGAUCAAAUAUUUAUAGGAUUAAGAUGGGCAUGCGGAACAUUAGCUAGUUGGUAAGGUAAUGGCUUACCAAGGCUACGAUGUUUAGGGGAUCUGAGAGGAUGACCCCCCACACUGGUACUGAAACACGGACCAGACUCCUACGGGAGGCAGCAGUAAGGAAUAUUGGUCAAUGGGCGCAAGCCUGAACCAGCCAUGCCGCGUGCAGGAAGACGGCCCUACGGGUUGUAAACUGCUUUUGUACCGGAAUAAACUUUGAUACGUGUAUCAAGCUGAAUGUACGGUAAGAAUAAGGAUCGGCUAACUCCGUGCCAGCAGCCGCGGUAAUACGGAGGAUCCAAGCGUUAUCCGGAUUUAUUGGGUUUAAAGGGUGCGUAGGCGGUUCUUUAAGUCAGGGGUGAAAGACGGUAGCUUAACUAUCGCAGUGCCUUUGAUACUGAAGAACUUGAAUACACUUGAGGUAGGCGGAAUGUGACAAGUAGCGGUGAAAUGCAUAGAUAUGUCACAGAACACCAAUUGCGAAGGCAGCUUACUAAAGUGUCAUUGACGCUGAGGCACGAAAGCGUGGGGAUCAAACAGGAUUAGAUACCCUGGUAGUCCACGCCCUAAACGAUGAAUACUCGAUGUUGGCGAUAUACGGUCAGCGUCUAAGCGAAAGCGUUAAGUAUUCCACCUGGGGAGUACGCCCGCAAGGGUGAAACUCAAAGGAAUUGACGGGGGCCCGCACAAGCGGAGGAGCAUGUGGUUUAAUUCGAUGAUACGCGAGGAACCUUACCCGGGCUUGAAAGUUAGUGAAUGAUCCAGAGACGGAUCAGUCCUUCGGGACACGAAACUAGGUGCUGCAUGGCUGUCGUCAGCUCGUGCCGUGAGGUGUU
rnacentral:rRNA from 1 species